UUUCAAAAAGUAGUCGGUGGAGAAUCACCAUUGAAUGGGUGUGUUUCUAGAGUGGUUCCAUUGGUUCUAGGACUGACUAUACAACAGUUGUAUCAAUUAUUUGGAAGUAAAUAUAAACCCACCGCUAAUAAUAUUUGCAGAUGACAGAUUGGUGGAAUGGUAAAAUAUGAUGAGGAUAGGGCAAUUAUACAGAGAUGUAUUGUAAUGCAACCAAAUACAAGGUCUUACUUGCAAAAUGGAAGACUAAACUCUGGAAAACCGUGAUUCUACAAAAAUUAGGGGUCGUACUGGACAAGCAACAACAUGAGCUCCCAGUGCAAUGCUGUGGCAAAAACAGCUAAUGUAUAAAUGGGGAGUAGGGAGGAGCUUUUACUUGCGUAUACAGCAUUGGUGAGCCAAAUAUUGAAUUAUGUCCAGUGCCGGUGUGCACAUUUUAAAAAGGCUGUUGAAAAGUUGGAGAGAGUGCAGAAAAGAGCCAUACAAAUUAUUUGAGAACUGGAGAACAUGCCUUACAGUAAGAGACUUAAAGAACUAAAUCUGUUUAGCUUAUUAAAAAGAUUGACAGGUGAUUUAAUUACAGUGUAUAAGUAUCUUCACAGGGAGAAAAUACUAGGUACAAAGGGGCUUUUUAAUCUAGUAGAGAAAGGCAGAACAAGAAACAAUGGCUGAAAGCUGAAGCAAGACAAAUUCAAAUUAAAAAUAAAGCAGAAAUUGUUAACAGGGAGGGCGAUUAACCAUUGGAUGUAGUAGAUUCUCUAAAUCUUCAAGUAAAGACUUGAUGCAUAUCUUCCAGAAAGACUUUAGCUAAACACAAGCUCUUGGGUUCAAUAUAGGAGUAACUAGGUGAAAUGCAGCCCAGGUUCAUGGCAGACCAAGACAGCCAAAGUGCUCUCAACCCAUCCAUUUGGAAGAAGCCUGCCUGACCAGAAAGGCACUAAUGUUCCUGGAAAGUCAACUAACCUGUGCUGUAUCAGACCAAGCAGAUUCUGGAGCCAAAUGCCCUCCGCCAAGAACAGGCAAGUGUACAUAGCUUAGAUUUACUAGUACGAGCAUCCCAGCUGAUCUCAGUUGCCUGAGUAAAACACUAAGAGUGAAAGCUCCCCAAACUCCAACACUUAAAUGGCUUUCAUUCUCUAAGCUAGAAGUGAAAAUGAAUUAGAAAACAGGGAGCACUGGGGUAAUAUGGUCCUGCCAUAAAGCACAACUAAGCCACUGUCUGAGCCUGCUCGAUUAAACUCAGUGGAAGCCUUGCCGUUGACUUCAGUGGGCACAAGAUCAGGCUGUUGGAGGGCUGCUACAUUUUGCACCAAGUAGGAUACACGGCAGUGAUCCAGCCUGGAGCUGACAAAGAUGUGGAUGAUUAUGGCAUUGUCUCUAUCCAGGACCACAUUCUGGAAAACACUUAAGCAUGCACUUAAGUUCAUCUUAAGUAAGCAUAUACUUACUUUUCAGUGAAAAGUUAAGACUCCCUCUGCCUCCACUGCCUGUUUCAAAAUCACAGGUUUCAGAUCUCUCAGUAGGCUAUGAACCUGAGACAAGUUAAAACUAACACAUCUCAGAAUAAAAAUUACAAAGCUUGCUAUUAUACAAAAGAAAUAGAGACUGGUAUCUGCUUCCUGGGAAGAGUGAUGUUGCCCACACAGCAUGGCGAACACGAGCUAAAGAAUACCAGUUAGACAUAAUUACAUUUCAUUAAAGCAUAAUAGCAUCCAGUUAGACUGCUGGGUAAACUACUAAGGGGAGUUUAUCAUCUAGCAAAUUUUAUUUAAAACAGUUAAACACUGAUUCACAGGAAAUUUAAACAGUUUCUCACUGAAUUGCAGUGUUGUAGGGGGUCUUGUUUUCUUUUUACCAGCUUGUUGAAAUCUCUUGCUAACUGGCUUGCGAUAGCCUGCCAAGACAAGAUCCUUGUGAUCUGUAAAGGGAGAUAUAAGGAAUAAAGAGAACAAUUUUUGCUCCCUCGA